GUGAGGGAAAGGUGAAAAGCACCCCGAGAGGGGAGUGAAAUAGUACCUGAAACCGUAUGUUUACAAGCAGUCAGAGCAAGGAGAGCUUGCGAUGGCGUGCCUUUUGCAUAAUGAGCCAACGAGUUAAUCUAUACAGCGAGGUUAAGUAGUACAGCUACGGAGCCGAAGCGAAAGCGAGUUUUAAUAGAGCGUAUAGUUGUAUGGAUUAGACCCGAAACCAGGUGAUCUAUCCAUGUCCAGGAUGAAGGUAAGGUAACACUUACUGGAGGUCCGCACCGACCGACGUUGAAAAGUCGGCGGAUGAGGUGUGGAUAGGGGUGAAAGGCCAAUCAAACCUGGAGAUAGCUGGUUCUCUUCGAAAGCUAUUUAGGUAGCGCCUCAUAUUAGUUUUACGGAGGUAGAGCACUGACUGGGCUAGGGGGCAUACCAGCUUACUGAACCCAAUCAAACUCCGAAUGCCGUAAAAUGCUGUAUGGGAGACAGGGCGUGUGGGAUAAGCUUCACGUCCGAGAGGGGAACAACCCAGACCGACAGCUAAGGUCCCCAAGUAUAUACUAAGUGAUUAAGGAUGUUUUAUUGCAUAGACAGCCAGUACGUUGGCUUAGAAGCAGCCACCGUUAAAAGAGUGCGUAAUAGCUCACUGGUCGAGUGGUAAUGCACCGAAGAUGAACGGGACUUAAGUAUAUCACCGAAGCUUCGGGUAGGAUUUAUUCUACGGUAGAAGAGCAUUGUGUAUGCGCAGAAGAUGUAUCGUGAGUUAUGUUGGAGCGUACACAAGAGACUAUGUUGGCAUGAGUAGCGAUAAUGCAGGUCAAAAACCUGCACACCGCAAGCCUAAGGUUUCCUGAGUAAAGAUAAGCUUCUCAGGGUUAGUCGACCCCUAAGGUCAGGCGAAUAGCGUAGCCGAUGGGUUAUCAGGUUAAUAUUCCUGAACCACUAUAAAAAGUGAAGGAGUGACACAACUAUGAAGCGUGGACUUGUGUUGGAAUACAAGUUGAAUAUAUGUAGAACGUGCGAUAGGCAAAUCCGUUGCACACAAGUUCGAGGUAUAGGACGAGGCUUUACGCCACAAAGCACGUGUAUAAGGUUGUCGAGAAAUAGCUUCUAACGUUAAUUUUUAUAGUGAUCGUACCGCAAACCGACACAGGUAGGCGAGGAGAGUAUCCUCAGGUGUUCGAGAGAAUUCUGGUUAAGGAACUAGGCAAAAUAGCCCCGUAACUUCGGGAGAAGGGGUACCCUUUUUUGUGAAUGGUUCAAAGGAGCAAAGAAGGGUCGCAGUGAAUAGGCCCAAGCGACUGUUUAUCAAAAACAUAGGUCUAUGCAAAGUAGAAAUACGACGUAUAUAGAUUGACACCUGCCCGGUGCUGGAAGGUUAAAUGGAGAGGUUAGCGCGAGCGACGCUUUGAAAUGAAGCCCCAGUAAACGGCGGCCGUAACUAUAACGGUCCUAAGGUAGCGAAAUUCCUUGUCGGGUAAGUUCCGACCUGCACGAAUGGUGCAACGACUUGGGCACUGUCUCAACCAGGAACUCGGUGAAAUUGGAUUAGUGGUGAAGAUACCACUUUCCCGCGAAAGGACGGUAAGACCCCAUGAACCUUUACUGCAACUUGGUAUUGUAUAUUGGUAAGGUAUGUGUAGGAUAGGUGGGAGGCUAUGAAUUUAGCACGCCAGUGUUGGAGGAGCCAUCGUUGAAAUACCACCCUUAUUUUAUUGAUCUACUAACCUAUUUAGUCAAUCCUAAAUAGGGACAUUUCCAGGCGGGCAGUUUGACUGGGGCGGUCGCCUCCGAAAGUGUAACGGAGGCUCGCAAAGGUUCCCUCAGGCUGGUUGGUAAUCAGCCGUCGAGCGUAAGGGUAUAAGGGAGCUUAACUGUGAGACAGACAUGUCGAACAGAUGCGAAAGCAGGUCCUAGUGAUCCGGUGGUUCUGUAUGGAAGGGCCAUCGCUCAAAGGAUAAAAGGUACUCUGGGGAUAACAGGCUGAUACCGCCCAAGAGUUCAUAUCG
rnacentral:rRNA from 1 species